UGGGGAAUUUUGGGACAAUGGGGGGAAACCCUGAUCCAGCCAUCCCGCGUGUGCGAUGAAGGCCUUCGGGUUGUAAAGCACUUUUGGCAGGAAAGAAACGUCGCGGGUUAAUACCCCGCGAAACUGACGGUACCUGCAGAAUAAGCACCGGCUAACUACGUGCCAGCAGCCGCGGUAAUACGUAGGGUGCAAGCGUUAAUCGGAAUUACUGGGCGUAAAGCGUGCGCAGGCGGUUCGGAAAGAAAGAUGUGAAAUCCCAGAGCUUAACUUUGGAACUGCAUUUUUAACUACCGGGCUAGAGUGUGUCAGAGGGAGGUGGAAUUCCGCGUGUAGCAGUGAAAUGCGUAGAUAUGCGGAGGAACACCGAUGGCGAAGGCAGCCUCCUGGGAUAACACUGACGCUCAUGCACGAAAAGGCGUGGGGGAGCAAACAGGAUUAGAUACCCUGGUAGUCCACGCCCUAAACGAUGUCAACUAGCUGUUGGGGCCUUCGGGCCUUGGUAGCGCAGCUAACGCGUGAAGUUGACCGCCUGGGGAGUACGGUCGC
rnacentral:rRNA from 1 species